AGCAGCCGCGGUAAUUCCAGCUCCAAUAGCGUAUAUUAAAGUUGUUGCAGUUAAAAAGCUCGUAGUUGAAUUUCGGGAUCGAUAUUUCGGUCAUGCCGUUGGUAUGCACUGUUAUCAUUGAUUUCUCACCUUCUAAAGAACCGUGAUGCCAUUAAUUUGGUGUUACGGGGAAUUAGGACUGUUACCUUGAAAAAAUUAGAGUGUUUAAAGCAGGCUCACGCUUGAAUACAUUAGCAUGGAAUAAUGAAAUAGGACAUCCGAUUCUAUUUUGUUGGUUUCUAGGAUCGAUGUAAUGAUUAAUAGGGAUAGUUGGGGGCAUUAGUAUUCAAUUGUCAGAGGUGAAAUUCUUGGAUUUAUUGAAGACUAACUACUGCGAAAGCAUUUGCCAAGGAUGUUUUCAUUAAUCAAGAACGAAAGUUAGGGGAUCGAAGACGAUCAGAUACCGUACGUCAGUCUUAACCAUAAACUAUGCCGACUAGGGAUCGGAUGAUGUUAAUUUUUUAAUGACUCA
rnacentral:rRNA from 1 species